rnacentral:rRNA from 1 species
UACAGAGGUCUCAAGCGUUGUUCGGAUUCAUUGGGCGUAAAGGGUGCGUAGGUGGCGCCGUAAGUCAGGUGUGAAAUUUCGGAGCUUAACUCCGAAACUGCAUUUGAUACUGCGGUGCUUGAGGACUGGAGAGGAGACUGGAAUUUACGGUGUAGCAGUGAAAUGCGUAGAGAUCAUGAGGAAGACCAGUGGCGAAGGCGGGUCGUCUGGACAGUUCCUGACACUGAGGCACGAAGGCCAGGGGAGCAAACGGG